rnacentral:piRNA from 1 species
UGAUAAAGUACCCUUCUUUGCUGACUAGG